UCGAGGAUCUUCGGCAAUGGGCGCAAGCCUGACCGAGCGACGCCGCGUGUGCGAUGAAGGCCUUCGGGUUGUAAAGCACUGUCGAGGGGGAGGAAAGCCGUAAGGUCUGACCUAUCCCUGGAGGAAGCACGGGCUAAGUUCGUGCCAGCAGCCGCGGUAAGACGAACCGUGCGAACGUUGUUCGGAAUCACUGGGCUUAAAGGGCGCGUAGGCGGGUCCGCAAGUCCGGGGUGAAAGCCCCCAGCUCAACUGGGGAAGUGCCUUGGAAACUGCGGGUCUAGAGCGAGGUAGGGGCAUGUGGAACUUCGGGUGGAGCGGUGAAAUGCGUUGAUAUCCGAAGGAACGCCGGUGGCGAAAGCGACGUGCUGGACCUCUUCUGACGCUGAGGCGCGAAAGCCAGGGUAGCGAACGG
rnacentral:rRNA from 1 species